ACGGUAUGCAACAGCAGUGGGUUUCAUGAUCUGCUUCACCAUCUGGCCUCAGUUCACACCCAUCUUUUGACGCUGGUUGCAAUUUGUUGAGUCUGAGCGAUGGUGUACUCUGAUAUGUAACAUUAACACUUUUACAAGGCUAAAAAUAGAGCUUAUAAUCCUCCGGCUGCGCUGUGAUCCAGCACAAUAAUUACAGAGAAAAUAAAAGUUUAAUCACCAAACUCGUGAAGGAGGAGCUUCCCCGUGAUCCACUUUCUUCUGUGGUUUUAAACAAUGUUAGAAGUUGCAGCUGGUCGCUCUGUCUGGCGUCCAGAAGAAGAAAAGGUGCCAGAACAUUUGUGUUGAAGGGAGGAACCGAUCAGCACCUGCUAGUGAGCUGGCAGAGGACGACUGGGAAAGAUUGAAGAUCUAAAAAUGUAGUGAGGAUGACCUGGAACCGGCACGCAGAGACCUGAACUCAGCAGUUUGGAGAAAGAGUUUGACAACUUUAAAACCCUUUUUUGAAUUGUUUAACUACCUUCCCAACAUGCUGCAUGAAACCAACGGACUCACUGAGAAUGCUGUCAAUCACAAGGUAGCCCCGCCCUAAAGCAUACCCUGCUUUAUGGUCUGUUUUACUGCUAAAUGGGCAUCAGUUUACUAAAUGAACAUCAUGCGUAUGUGAAGAAGACUGAAAACUAGAGACUGAGACCAGAAACUCAUCAGGAAAUCAGGUAUCUGUUUAUAUUGCAACCAGUAGCGCUGCCCCCUGCUGGCCUUUACAUAGAAUGCAGGUUUCAGACACUUGGCUAUGUAUACUGUUAAUUUACUGAAGUAAAAUAAACUACAUUAACUGACAUUAAAGGACCAAUGUGAAGGAUUUAGUGGCAUCUAAUGGUGAAAUUUCAGACUCCAACUAACUGAUCUGAACUCUUGAGGCCACGAAACUCAACAAAAACACGAUUCCUAUAUUCAGGUAAUUAUACACUAAUAAAAACAUACUUAUGAAUGUUAUAUUAUAUUUCUGCCAACAGAUCUUCCUCAAUGUUUCACACUGGAGCUUUAACUGACCUUCAGAGGUUGCUUUAACCCUGAGAGAAGUGAAAGUUUGACCUUCCCUGACGCUGAAAUACUGAUGACUCUUUGUUGUUUUAUUUUGAGUGUGUACAGUGAAACCGGAGAGCCGUGAGAACGAUUCGGAGAAAUCAGUGUUUAUUUUACUGAGCUGUACCGACUGUAUUCAGGCCUCUCACUGAACCCACACAGAUAAAUAUUUAAUAUAGGAACAAUUUGUUUAAAGAAUACAAAACACAUUUUUAUUUACUGUGUGACCUUUGGGGGUCCACGAUCCCCAGGUUGAGAACCACUGAUCUACAUCACUCCCUCUUUGUGAUAUUCUCAGGUUUAUUCUUAAAUAAUCUGCAACAAUCAGGUUGAACUUUAACUCUCCUGAGCUCGAGGAUGUAUGGAAGCACAUAACUGCCAAUGUGACAGGGAAAAUAUAUAUUCUAUUCUAUAUAAUGAGAAACUGUCUUAGUAAAUCACUUAUUAUCUCAAAAUAAUGAGUUAAUAUCU